CGUUAGCGACAGAAGAAGCACCGGCUAACUCCGUGCCAGCAGCCGCGGUAAUACGGAGGGUGCGAGCGUUAAUCGGAAUUACUGGGCGUAAAGCGCAUGCAGGUGGUUUGUUAAGUCAGAUGUGAAAGCCCGGGGCUCAACCUCGGAAUAGCAUUUGAAACUGGCAGACUAGAGUACUGUAGAGGGGGGUAGAAUUUCAGGUGUAGCGGUGAAAUGCGUAGAGAUCUGAAGGAAUACCGGUGGCGAAGGCGGCCCCCUGGACAGAUACUGACACUCAGAUGCGAAAGCGUGGGGAGCAAACAGGAUUAGAUACCCUGGUAGUCCACGCCGUAAACGAUGUCUACUUGGAGGUUGUGGCCUUGAGCCGUGGCUUUCGGAGCUAACGCGUUAAGUAGACCGCCUGGGGAGUACGGUCGCAAGAUUAAAACUCAAAUGAAUUGACGGGGGCCCGCACAAGCGGUGGAGCAUGUGGUUUAAUUCGAUGCAACGCGAAGAACCUUACCUACUCUUGACAUCCAGAGAACUUUCCAGAGAUGGAUUGGUGCCUUCGGGAACUCUGAGACAGGUGCUGCAUGGCUGUCGUCAGCUCGUGUUGUGAAAUGUUGGGUUAAGUCCCGCAACGAGCGCAACCCUUAUCCUUGUUUGCCAGCGAGUAAUGUCGGGAACUCCAGGGAGACUGCCGGUGAUAAACCGGAGGAAGGUGGGGACGACGUCAAGUCAUCAUGGCCCUUACGAGUAGGGCUACACACGUGCUACAAUGGCGCAUACAGAGGGCAGCCAACUUGCGAAAGUGAGCGAAUCCCAAAAAGUGCGUCGUAGUCCGGAUUGGAGUCUGCAACUCGACUCCAUGAAGUCGGAAUCGCUAGUAAUCGUGGAUCAGAAUGCCACGGUGAAUACGUUCCCGGGCCUUGUACACACCGCCCGUCACACCAUGGGAGUGGGCUGCAAAAGAAGUAGGUAGUUUAACCUUCGGGGGGACGCUUACCACUUUGUGGUUCAUGACUGGGGUGAAGUCGUAACAAGGUAGCGCUAGGGGAACCUGGCGCUG
rnacentral:rRNA from 1 species